rnacentral:pre_miRNA from 1 species
CAAAUACUCCCUCCGUCCUAAAAUAAGUGACUCAACUUUGUAUACUAACCUUGUAUACAAAGUUGAGUCACUUAUUUUAGGACGGAGGGAGUACACA